rnacentral:misc_RNA from 1 species
UUUCCGUAGGUGAACCUGCGAAAGGAUCAUUAUUGUGAACCGGGGCGGCGCAAGCCGUCCCAAUCCAAACCCUCUGUGAACAACACUGCCGUUGGCGCAAGCCGGCGGCGACCUUUACACCUGUCGUACUACGUCCAGAAAGUAAAACAAAAGCGUACAACUCUCCACGAUGGCUCUCUUGGCUCUCGCAUCGAUGAAGAACGCAGC